CGAGCGGCGGACGGGUGAGUAAUGCAUAGGAAUCUGCCCGAUAGUGGGGGAUAACCUGGGGAAACCCAGGCUAAUACCGCAUACGUCCUACGGGAGAAAGGGGGCUCCGGCUCCCGCUAUCGGAUGAGCCUAUGUCGGAUUAGCUAGUUGGUGAGGUAAAGGCUCACCAAGGCGACGAUCCGUAGCUGGUCUGAGAGGAUGAUCAGCCACAUCGGGACUGAGACACGGCCCGAACUCCUACGGGAGGCAGCAGUGGGGAAUAUUGGACAAUGGGGGGAACCCUGAUCCAGCCAUGCCGCGUGUGUGAAGAAGGCCCUCGGGUUGUAAAGCACUUUCAGUGAGGAAGAACGCCUGGUGGUUAAUACCCAUCAGGAAAGACAUCACUCACAGAAGAAGCACCGGCUAACUCCGUGCCAGCAGCCGCGGUAAUACGGAGGGUGCGAGCGUUAAUCGGAAUUACUGGGCGUAAAGCGCGCGUAGGUGGCUUGAUAAGCCGGUUGUGAAAGCCCCGGGCUCAACCUGGGAACGGCAUCCGGAACUGUCAAGCUAGAGUGCAGGAGAGGAAGGUAGAAUUCCCGGUGUAGCGGUGAAAUGCGUAGAGAUCGGGAGGAAUACCAGUGGCGAAGGCGCCUUCUGGACUGACACUGACACUGAGGUGCGAAAGCGUGGGUAGCAAACAGGAUUAGAUACCUGGUAGUCCACGCCGUAAACGAUGUCGACCAGCCGUUGGGUGCCUAGCGCACUUGUGGC
rnacentral:rRNA from 1 species